rnacentral:rRNA from 1 species
AGAACGAACGCUGGCGGCGCGUUUUAAGCAUGCAAGUCGGACGGCAAGGGCUGUAGCAAUACGGCCCCUAGAGUGGCGGACGGGUGAGUAACACGUAGGUGAUCUACCUCUGGAUGGGGGAUAGCCCGUGGAAACACGGGGUAAUACCGCAUGAGGCCUUGUGGGUAAAGCCAUGAGGUGAAAGGUGCAAUUGCAUCGUCUGGGGAUGAGCCUGCGGUCCAUUAGUUAGUUGGCGGGGUAACGGCCCACCAAGACGACGAUGGAUAGCCGGCCUGAGAGGGUGGACGGCCACACUGGAACUGAGACACGGUCCAGACUCCUACGGGAGGCAGCAGCUAAGAAUCUUCCGCAAUGGGGGCAACCCUGACGGAGCGACGCCGCGUGGAUGAUGAAGGCCGUAAGGUUGUAAAAUCCUUUUGUCGGUGAAGAAUAAGCGGGGGAGUGGAAAGCCCUCGUGAUGACGUUAGCCGACGAAUAAGCCCCGGCUAAUUACGUGCCAGCAGCCGCGGUAAUACGUAUGGGGCGAGCGUUGUUCGGAUUUAUUGGGCGUAAAGGGCGUGUAGGCGGCUCAUCAAGUCUGGUGUGAAAACGCAAGGCUUAACCUUGCGUAUGCGCUGGAAACUGGUGGGCUUGAGUUCUUGAGGGGAAGCUGGAAUUCCAGGUGUAGGGGUGAAAUCUGUAGAUAUCUGGAAGAACACCGGUGGCGAAGGCGAGCUUCUAUCAGAGGACUGACGCUGAGGCGCGAAAGCGUGGGGAGCAAACAGGAUUAGAUACCCUGGUAGUCCACGCUGUAAACGAUGUGCACUAGGCGUGGGGCCCGUACGGGUUCUGUGCCGUAGUUAACGUGGUAAGUGCACCGCCUGGGGAGUAUGCUCGCAAGGGUGAAACUCAAA